GAAAUGCGAUACUUGGUGUGAAUUGCAGAAUUCAGUGAAUCAUCGAAUCUUUGAACGCACAUUGCGCCCAUUAGUAUUCUAAUGGGCAUGCCUGUUCGAGCGUCAUUUCAACCCUCAAGCCCUAGUUGCUUGGUGUUGGGAGCUUAUCCUGCCGGAAGGCGGGACAACUCCUUAAAGUUAUUGGCGGAGUCGCGGUGACCCCAAGCGCAGUAAUUCUUUUUCUCGCUUUAGGGUGUUAUCGCUGGCUUCUAGCCAUUAAACCCCCCCUAUUUUAUAAUGGUUGACCUCGGAUCAGGUAGGACUACCCGCUGAACUUAA
rnacentral:misc_RNA from 1 species